CGUAGGGUCCAAGCGUUAUCCGGAAUCACUGGGCGUAAAGCGUGCGUAGGUGGGAAUUUAAGUGUGAUGUUAAAUCGUGUGGCUCAACCAUAUCGAUGCAUCGCAUACUGGGUUCCUAGAGGACGGCAGAGGCAAGUGGAAUUAGCAGUGUAGCAGUGAAAUGCGUAGAUAUUGCUAGGAACACCAAUGGCGAAGGCGGCUUGCUGGGCCACUCCUGACACUGAGGUACGAAAGCGUGGGGAGCGAACAGGAUUAGAUACCCUGGUAGUCCACGCCGUAAACGAUGCAUACUAGACGUAUGGGGUAUCGACCCCCUGUGCGUCGAAGCUAACGCGAUAAGUAUGCCGCCUGGGAAGUACGGCCGCAAGGACUA
rnacentral:rRNA from 1 species